rnacentral:rRNA from 1 species
UGAGUACGAGAUGCUACGGCAUCGAAGCAGUCUAUGUCAUACUUCCAAGAAAAGCUUGCACUGUCAUAGACAAAAAAUGCCUGUACCAUAACCGACACAGGUGGGUAGGUAGAGUAUACUAAGGGGCGCGAGAUAACUCUCUCUAAGGAACUCGGCAAAAUGACUCCGUAACUUCGGGAGAAGGAGUGCCUUAUUUAUAAGGUUGCAAUAACAAGAUCCAAGCAACUGUUUACCAAAAACACAGGUCUCCGCGAAGUCGUAAGACGAUGUAUGGGGGCUGACGCCUGCCCAGUGCCAGAAGGUUAAAGAAGUUGGUUAGCAUUCGCGAAGCUGAUAACUGAAGCCCUGGUGAACGGCGGCCGUAACAAUAACGGUCCUAAGGUAGCGAAAUUCCUUGUCGGGUAAGUUCCGACCCGCACGAAAGGCGUAAUGAUUUGGAUACUGUCUCGGAGAGGGGCUCGGUGAAAUAGACUUGUCUGUGAAGAUGCGGACUACCUGCACCUGGACAGAAAGACCCUAUGAAGCUUUACUGUAACUUGAAAUUGAAAUUGGACUUUAUUUGCGCAGUAUAGGUGGGAGGCAUUGAGAAUAACCUUGCGGGGCUAUUGGAGCCAUCAGUGAGAUACCACUCUUGUAAUGUUAGAUUUCUAACUUUGUAUCAUUAUCUGGUCAAAGAACAGUUUCAGGCGGGCAGUUUGACUGGGGCGGUCGCCUCCCAAACGGUAACGGAGGCGCACAAAGGUUUCCUCUGAACGGGUAGAAAUCGUAUCUAGAGUGUAAAGGCAUAAGGAAGCUUGACUGUGAGACCUACAAGUCGAGCAGGGACGAAAGUCGGUCUUAGUGAUCUGACGGUGCUGAGUGGAAAGGCCGUCACUCAACGGAUAAAAGUUACUCUAGGAUAACAGGCUGAUCUCCCCCAAGAGUUCACAUCGACGGGGAGGUUUGGCACCUCGAUGUCGGCUCAUCGCAUCCUGGGGCGGUAGUACGUCCCAAGGGUUGGGCUGUUCGCCCAUGAAAGCGGUACGCGAGCUGGGUUCAGAACGUCGUGAGACAGUUCGGUCCAUAUCCGGUGUAGGCGUUAGAAUAUUGAGAGGAGCCUUCUCUAGUACGAGAGGACCGAGAAGGACAUACCUCUGGUGUACCAGUUAUCGUGCCAACGGUAAACGCUGGGUAGCUAUGUAUGGAGUGGAUAACCGCUGAAAGCAUCUAAGUGGGAAGCCCACCUCAAGAUAAGUAUUCUC